GACGAACGCUGGCGGCGUGCUUAACACAUGCAAGUCGAGCGAUGAAGCACCUUCGGGUGUGGAUUGGCGGCGAACGGGUGAGGAACACGUGAGGAAUCUGCCUUUCACUUCGGGAUAACUCCGGGAAACCGGGGCUAAUACCGGAUAUUUUCAACUGGCGGCAUCGCCGGUUGAAGAAAGUUUUUCGGUGAAAGAUGACCUCGCGGCCUAUCAGCUUGUUGGUGAGGUAAUGGCUCACCAAGGCGACGACGGGUAGCCGGCCUGAGAGGGCGACCGGCCACACUGGGACUGAGACACGGCCCAGACUCCUACGGGAGGCAGCAGUGGGGAAUAUUGGGCAAUGGAGGAAACUCUGACUCAGCGACGCCGCGUGAGGGAUGAAGGCCUUCGGGUUGUAAACCUCUUUCAGCAGGGAAUAAGCGAAAGUGAAGGUACCUGCAGAAGAAGCACCGGCUAACUAUGUGCCAGCAGCCGCAGUAA
rnacentral:rRNA from 1 species